GAUGAACGCUGGCGGCGUGCCUAAUACAUGCAAGUCGAGCGAACAGACGAGGAGCUUGCUCCUUCGACGUUAGCGGCGGACGGGUGAGUAACACGUAGGUAACCUACCUAUAAGACUGGGAUAACUUCGGGAAACCGGAGCUAAUACCGGAUAAUAUUUCGAACCGCAUGGUUCGAUAGUGAAAGAUGGCUUUGCUAUCACUUAUAGAUGGACCUGCGCCGUAUUAGCUAGUUGGUAAGGUAACGGCUUACCAAGGCAACGAUACGUAGCCGACCUGAGAGGGUGAUCGGCCACACUGGAACUGAGACACGGUCCAGACUCCUACGGGAGGCAGCAGUAGGGAAUCUUCCGCAAUGGGCGAAAGCCUGACGGAGCAACGCCGCGUGAGUGAUGAAGGUCUUCGGAUCGUAAAACUCUGUUAUUAGGGAAGAACAAACGAGUAAGUAACUGUGCACGUCUUGACGGUACCUAAUCAGAAAGCCACGGCUAACUACGUG
rnacentral:rRNA from 1 species